rnacentral:rRNA from 1 species
GGACUACUGGGGUAUCUAAUCCCGUUUGCUCCCCUGGCUUUCGCAUCUCAGUGUCAGUUUCGGACCAGAAAGCCGCCUUCGCCACCGGUGUUCCUCCCAAUAUCUACGCAUUUCACCGCUACACUGGGAAUUCCGCUUUCCUCUUCCGUACUCAAGUCCUGCAGUUUCAAAGGCAAUGACCUGGUUGAGCCGGGCCAUUUCACCUUUGACUUACAAAACCACCUACAUGCCCUUUACACCCAAUAAAUCCGGACAACGUUUGCCACCUCUGUAUUACCGCGGCUGCUGGCAC